UCUGAAGGGGAGGCAGCUGGUGCCCAGGCCGACAAGGUUAAGAAAAUAAACAACAAAACACCUGGGAGGAGACAUGUAGAGUGCUUAAAGGGGCUGAGGGGCAUCAGGAUAGCCUUGUGCAGGAGCAGCAGGGCCCAGGAUGCUUGGCAGCUUCUGCUUCAGGCAAACGGCAGCACAUAGAGCCUCUUCCCUGCCUGUACUCCGCUGCCGUGCCACCUUCCCAGAACUUGGCCGGCUGUACUCCUCACGUCACACCUGAGUCACGGUGUGAAUGGGAUGUUCCAAAGAUUAAAACUGGCAUGAAAUUUCUGAAUGGGGAAGUGCCUGGUAGCAGUGUCCAAGAGCAGUGUGUUAGCACCGAAGAUUAAUUCAUUUCCUGUCACUCAUACACUGUGGGCUCUCAGGCCUUGUUUUUGUUUGUUUGCUUCCACUGAUUUUGACAAAAUGUAUCCUUAAGGAAAAAUCCGCGCCCUUACUUUAGAUUUUGUACAUGUACAUUAGAUUUAAGCUGGAUACCAGCGGUACUUUGAUUUUUCAUUACAGAACAUAAAUCUCUCUCGGGAAAAAAAAAAAAAAAGAUUAUUUUCUGUAUGGAUUUUGUAUAAUUCUCCAGAACUGAUCAGAUGCUUUUCCCCCAGAAAUCGGUGAAGAUAUUUUUUAUUAAUUUUGACCUCAAAAUCUGUAGGGGACUGCAAGGUACUGCAAAUAAUUUUCAGUAUUUUUUUUCUCAUACAUUCUUUCUAAUGUGAUACAAACAUUUAUAUCAAAAAUUAAAAGACAGUUAAUUCUGUGAAAUCCCUUCAACAUCAGGUGCUCCCGUUCUGUUUGCUGAGUUAAUCAGUCAGUUUAUGUUUUAGAGGACAGUGCAGGGAAGAGGACUGAAAUGAGUGUGAGCGGGUAUGUAAUACCGUGGUACAGCACUGACAGGUUGUAAGAGAAUUUGAUUCAGGGUCUGCUUAAAUCUCCUUGGUUCCCACAUAAAUUAGUCAUUAUUAAAAAAAUGAACCAGCCCCAACACUUUAGAAAGACCAUACCUUAGUCUGUAGAUUGGUUUCUUAGCAGGAAUGUGGAAAAGACAGAUUUGAUCUGACUCAGAAUCCCAAUGAUCUGUUUUGAAACCGAUGAUCCAUUCUCAAUAUAAGCUUUGCUUAAAUUGUUAUGCUCCCACUGUAAGUAGUUUGUUUUAGCAAAAAUGUUUGAGCAAACGUUUUAGCAAAAGGUGCCAGUUCUGUGCAUAGGUGAAACUUAAGUUAGUGGGAGCAAUGCUAAUGUCAUUAGGUGGAAUAUGGGUUAGAAAUCACAUUCCUGAUAACUGGAAAUUGAUGUGAAGAAGCUGGAUGUAAGCUCUGCUUUGUCAGUAACCAGAAGGAAAACCACAAUAGUGUUAGCUGUCAGAAUUAGAAGUUUAUUAUGUAUUUUUCCAUCUUCAUGACUACACAUUAUUUGUACAGAAUUCUGUCCUUACUUUCCUAAAGAUAUGCUUUAUUCCAGUGAUCUAAAUUCACUGCAAUUCUAAUAAGACUUUUGUUAAUGAAAUUGUAUCAAAAUUUCACUGUGUUUUUUUCUUUGAGUAUUAGGAUAUGGCUGCAUACCAUUUUCCUCUGCUUAAAAAAGAAGUUUAUCUUCAAAAAGAAG
ensembl:lncRNA